rnacentral:snoRNA from 1 species
GGUACAAAAAUAAAUUCUCUUUUGCAUCCCAGAACUCAUGGUUCUGUAUGAAUUCUGAUACAUACAAGAAGGAAUAUA